rnacentral:misc_RNA from 1 species
UCUCCGUAGGUGAACCUGCGGAGGGAUCAUUACUGAGUGAGGGCUUCGGUCCGACCUCCAACCCUUUGUGAACCAAACUUGUUGCUUCGGGGGCGACCCUGCCGCUUCGGCGGUGCGGCGCCCCCGGAGGCUCAUCAAACACUGCAUCCUUGCGUCGGAGUCUUAAUGAAUUUAAACAAAACUUUUAACAACGGAUCUCUUGGUUCUGGCAUCGAUGAAGAACGCAGC